GGAGGAAAAGAAACCAACAGGGAUUGCCCUAGUAACGGCGAGUGAAGCGGCAACAGCUCAAAUUUGAAAUCUGGCUCUUUCAGAGUCCGAGUUGUAAUUUGCAGAGGGCGCUUUGGCGUUGGCAGCGGUCUAAGUUCUUUGGAACAGGACGUCACAGAGGGUGAGAAUCCCGUACGUGGUCGCUAGCCUUCGCCGUGUAAAGCCCCUUCGACGAGUCGAGUUGUUUGGGAAUGCAGCUCUAAAUGGGAGGUAAAUUUCUUCUAAAGCUAAAUACUGGCCAGAGACCGAUAGCGCACAAGUAGAGUGAUCGAAAGAUGAAAAGCACUUUGGAAAGAGAGUCAAAUAGCACGUGAAAUUGUUGAAAGGGAAGCGCUUGCAGCCAGACUUGCCUGUAGUUGCUUAUCUAGACUUUUGUCUAGUGCACUCUUCUGCGGGCAGGCCAGCAUCAGUUUGGGCGGUUGGAUAAAGGUCUCUGUCAUGUACCUCUCUUCGGGGAGGCCUUAUAGGGGAGACGACAUGCAACCAGCCUGGACUGAGGUCCGCGCAUCUGCUAGGAUGCUGGCGUAAUGGCUGUAAGCGGCCCGUCUUGAAACACGGACCAAGGAGUCUAACAUCUAUGCGAGUGUUUGGGUGUCAAGCCCAGACGCGUAAUGAAAGUGAACGGAGGUGGGAACCCUUUGGGUGCACCAUCGACCGAUCCUGAUGUCUUCGGAUGGAUUUGAGUAAGAGCAUGGCUGUUGGGACCCGAAAGAUGGUGAACUAUGCUUGAAUAGGGUGAAGCCAGAGGAAACUCUGGUGGAGGCUCGCAGCGGUUCUGACGUGCAAAUCGAUCGUCAAAUUUGGGCAUAGGGGCGAAAGACUAAUC
rnacentral:rRNA from 1 species